rnacentral:piRNA from 1 species
UCUUAAAGAGGUAAAUUUGGUGUGG